rnacentral:rRNA from 1 species
GAUGAACGCUGGCGGCGUGCCUAAUACAUGCAAGUCGAGCGAGCAGACGAGGAGCUUGCUCCUCUGACGUUAGCGGCGGACGGGUGAGUAACACGUGGAUAACCUACCUAUAAGACUGGGAUAACUUCGGGAAACCGGAGCUAAUACCGGAUAAUAUAUUGAACCGCAUGGUUCAAUAGUGAAAGACGGUUUUGCUGUCACUUAUAGAUGGAUCCGCGCCGCAUUAGCUAGUUGGUAAGGUAACGGCUUACCAAGGCAACGAUGCGUAGCCGACCUGAGAGGGUGAUCGGCCACACUGGAACUGAGACACGGUCCAGACUCCUACGGGAGGCAGCAGUAGGGAAUCUUCCGCAAUGGGCGAAAGCCUGACGGAGCAACGCCGCGUGAGUGAUGAAGGUCUUCGGAUCGUAAAACGCUGUUAUUAGGGAAGAACAAAUGUGUAAGUAACUAUGCACGUCUUGACGGUACCUAAUCAGAAAGCCACGGCUAACUACGU